UACAUAGGGUGCAAGCGUUGUCCGGAAUUAUUGGGGCGUAAAGAACUCGUAGGUCGUUUGUUACGUCGGAUGUGAAAACCUGAGGCUCAACCUCAGGCCUGCAUUUCGAUACGGGCAAACUAGAGUUUGGUAGGGGAGACUGGGAAUUCCUGGGUGUAGCGGUGGAAUGCGCAGAUAUCAGGAGGAACACCAAUGGCGAAGGCAGGUCUCUGGGCCAAUACUGACACUGAGGAGCGAAAGUCUGGGGAGCGAACAGG
rnacentral:rRNA from 1 species